rfam:Parasitella parasitica strain CBS 412.66 genome assembly, contig: contig_8
GUCCCGGUAGCUUAAAUGGUAGAGCGUACGACUGAAAAUCGUAGUGAGGAAGUUCAAUUCUUCCCCAGGACA